GAAAUCCACCAUCUUGUCCUCUUCUUCACGCAGACCUAGAGAAGGCAGAAGGAUUUUCCCUCUUGCCCAGGAAACCCUUGGAAAUGGAUCCGCCCUCUAGCGGUUAACAAGGGAGCUGAGGAAUAAUGGGAUUUGACAUCAUUGGAAAGCACAGCCACACCCAAAAACAGGUGUGUGCACAAGAAUUUCUGAACACAGAUUUUACCAGCUGCACCCACACCCUCAAUUCUACUUGAAAUUAAUCUUAAAGAAAUUUUGAAUUUGCUGAUAAUUUGAGAUCAGUAAAGAUUUUCCCUGAAAGUUCUAAGGAAAUGCUUUAUACAUAGAUUUGUCCACCCAUGCUCAAAGAAAACCCAGAAUAAAAACCUGAAUAUAAAGCAGAUGGAUUCCCAAAC